UUUAUUUUUUUUUUCUCAGAAGAAAUCUUUAUUCCUUUCCGUAGUUACCUAAAUCAACUCCUCGAUAUGAUGUCCUUACCCUUACAUUACAAGCGAAGUACAGAACGUAACAGUUAUCACCCUCAUAUAAAUAAUAUUUUCCAACUACUGACUAUUUGACUCCCGGUACACAUUCACAUUAAAAGAUCUAAAAAUUCAAUUAUUUAUUAACCUUUAUUAUUUUUCAAUUCUCUAUUACAAUAAUAAACAAUAAUAAAUUUCGAUAUUCAAAUUUGCAUCACGAACAAUGGUGUUAAAUUUAUAUUUUUUUUUUCUCUAAAUAACGUGUACGUAAAAUUUUGGUGAACAUGCAUUUUGUCUAGUAAAUUUUUUAUUAAAAAUUUUCCUAAAUACUCUGUGAUACAAUAUUCGCGCCAAAUUUGAAAAAAAGGACAUCGAAAUAUACAAAGGGCGGGACGUAGUCGGAAAAUAGAAAAAGUUUAUAAAAUAUUUAGUUAUGAGAUAAAUACGUUAAAAAUUCGUUGUUUAUAGAUGAGAAGAAUAGCAUACAAGAUCUUAGGAGUAAGAAAAACCAUUUUAAAUAAAUACUUAAACGUAAUAUCAGUUCUUUUUUGAUGACCGAAUAAAAUCGAUACGAAUUAUAAGCGCUAUUUUCUUUUGUCAAAAAA
rnacentral:misc_RNA from 1 species